AGUCCAAUUACGUGAAUUCCAUUUAGUUCUGUUUUUUUUGUGAGCCCAACGUGCUAUUUCUCUAGAGAGAAAUCAACUCCAUGUGGAACACUGGGCUGAAGGGAGUUGUAGUUUUCAUUAAACAAAUAUUCAACCUAGUUCAGCGCAAAAAAUGUGCUAAUUAACUACAAUGACCAUUAAUCCAUUGCCUUACAACAGGCCUACAAGCCCUCAGUCCAGCCUCUCUCAGCUUAUUACGGACAGUCUGAGCACUGAUGGAGGGAUUGUGCGUUCCUGGUGUAACUCGGGCUGUUGUUAUUGCCAUCCUGUACCUGUCCCACAGGUGUGGUGUUUGGAUGUACCGAUCCUGUGCAGGUGUUGUUACACGUGAUCUGCCACUGCGAGGAUGAUCAGCUGUCCGUCCUGUCUCCUUGUAGCGCUGUAUUAGGCGUCUCACAGUACGUACAUUGCAAUUUAUUGGCCUGGCCACAUCUACAGUCCUCAUGUCUCCUUGCAGCAUGCCUAAGGCACGAUCACGCAGAUGAGCAGGGACCCUGGGCAUCUUUCUUUUGGUGUUUUUCAGAGUCAGUAGAAAGGCCUCUUUAGUGUCCUAAGUUUUCAUAACUGUGACCUUUAAUUGCCUACUGUCUGAAAGCUGUUAGUGUCUUAAUGCCUGUCACAUUAGACCAGGUUCAUUAGACCAGGUUCCUCUCCUAGCCUAUCACAUUAGACCAGGUUCCUCUCCUAGCCUGUCACAUUAGACCAGGUUCCUCUCCCAGCCUGUCACAUUAGACCAGGUUCCUCUCCCAGCCUGUCACAUUAGACCAGGUUCCUCUCCCUCUCCUAGCCUGUCACAUUAGACCAGGUUCCUCUCCCAGCCUGUCACAUUAGACCAGGUUCCUCUCCCUCUCCAAGCCUGUCACAUUAGACCAGGUUCCUCUCCCUCUCCCAGCAUGUCACAUUAGACCAGGUUCCUCUCCCAGCCUGUCACAUUAGACCAGGUUCCUCUCCCUCUCCUAGCCUGUCACAUUAGACCAGGUUCCUCUCCCUCCCCAAGCCUGUCACAUUAGACCAGGUCCCUCUCCCUCUCCUAGUCUGUUCCUCUCCCAGCCUGUCACAUUAGACCAGGUUCCUCUCCCUCUCCUAGCCUGUCACAUUAGACCAGGUUCCUCUCCCUCUCCAAGCCUGUCACAUUAGACCAGGUUCCUCUCCCUCUCCCAGCCUGUCACAUUAGACCAGGUUCCUCUCCCAGCCUGUCACAUUAGACCAGGUUCCUCUCCCUCUCCUAGCCUGUCACAUUAGACCAGGUUCCUCUCCCUCUCCAAGCCUGUCACAUUAGACCAGGUUCCUCUCCCUCUCCCUCUCCCAGCCUGUCACAUUAGACCAGGUUCCUCUCCCUCUCCUAGCCUGUCACAUUAGACCAGGUUCCUCUCCCAGCCUGUCACAUUAGACCAGGUUCCUCUCCCUCUCCAAGCCUGUCACAUUAGACCAGGUUCCUCUCCCUCUCCCAGCAUGUCACAUUAGACCAGGUUCCUCUCCCAGCCUGUCACAUUAGACCAGGUUCCUCUCCCUCUCCUAGCCUGUCACAUUAGACCAGGUUCCUCUCCCUCCCCAAGCCUGUCACAUUAGACCAGGUCCCUCUCCCUCUCCUAGUCUGUUCCUCUCCCAGCCUGUCACAUUAGACCAGGUUCCUCUCCCUCUCCUAGCCUGUCACAUUAGACCAGGUUCCUCUCCCUCUCCAAGCCUGUCACAUUAGACCAGGUUCCUCUCCCUCUCCCAGCCUGUCACAUUAGACCAGGUUCCUCUCCCAGCCUGUCACAUUAGACCAGGUUCCUCUCCCUCUCCUAGCCUGUCACAUUAGACCAGGUUCCUCUCCCUCUCCAAGCCUGUCACAUUAGACCAGGUUCCUCUCCCUCUCCCAGCCUGUCACAUUAGACCAGGUUCCUCUCCCAGCCUGUCACAUUAGACCAGGUUCCUCUCCCAGCCUGUCACAUUAGACCAGGUUCCUCUCCCAGCCUGUCACAUUAGACCAGGUUCCUCUCCCAGCCUGUCACAUUAGACCAGGUUCCUCUCCCAGCCUGUCACAUUAGACCAGGUUCCUCUCCCAGCCUGUCACAUUAGACCAGGUUCCUCUCCCAGCCUGUCACAUUAGACCAGGUUCCUCUCCCAGCCUGUCACAUUAGACCAGGUUCCUCUCCCAGCCUGUCACAUUAGACCAGGUUCCUCUCCCUCUCCAAGCCUGUCACAUUAGACCAGGUUCCUCUCCCUCUCCAAGCCUGUCACAUUAGACCAGGUUCCUCUCCCUCUCCCAGCCUGUCACAUUAGACCAGGUUCCUCUCCCAGCCUGUCACAUUAGACCAGGUUCCUCUCCCAGCCUGUCACAUUAGACCAGGUUCCUCUCCCAGCCUGUCACAUUAGACCAGGUUCCUCUCCCAGCCUGUCACAUUAGACCAGGUUCCUCUCCCAGCCUGUCACAUUAGACCAGGUUCCUCUCCCAGCCUGUCACAUUAGACCAGGUCCCUCUCCCAGCCUGUCACAUUAGACCAGGUUCCUCUCCCUCUCCAAGCCUGUCACAUUAGACCAGGUUCCGCUCCCUCUCUGCAUCUGUAGGUGUCAGUUGAUGAAGGAUAGAGGACUGUCAAAUCAGACUGGGGUCCUUUCUGCAUCAGCCGGCCAGAGAGGGUUAGAGGUCAACCUGCCAUCACCUCUGAUGUCAUUAAGGACUCAUGAUUGGUUUAGCUGAAAUGCUACCCUCUCCUUCUAAUCUAAUAGAAAGCCCUGAUAGGAGAAGCUCAGGGAGGUCAUUUAGUGCAAUUUAACCUGAAUGGAUGAUCUUCCUGCUGAAGAUGACAGUCCAGUAGACAUGGACAUAUAGAUGCUUAGCUACAUCACAUACAAACGCUUGAUAGUGUAUUACUUAUUGUUCAGAACAGUAUGAUUUUAUUGUGCUGCAUAGAUUAUAUCCUAUAAUUCAACACUUGUGUUUGUUAUGCAUUUAUAAAUUGUGUGGAGUUUCAAUGGUCAAUGGCUGAGUAUUCUGAUCAAU